CUUCAGCGAGCCCAGCCACACCGGAUCGCCGGCGGUGCGCUCGCCGCCGUACACGGCGAUCAGCGCCGCGGCCUC
rnacentral:antisense_RNA from 2 species